GCCAAUACCGUCCGCUCCUCCCUUUGUGUCAAUCCCGAUCUCCUCCGCCACACCACUAUCCACGACCUCCUCUCUACACUCCACAUCGCCGUCGUAAACGGUCGCGUCGAGGUCGGCUUCGUUUAAUCGCUUCUUUCUCUCUUUUGUGAUUUUUUUGUUACUUUUUUUUUGUUGGAGAUGAAGGAGAUGGGAGAAUUUCCGAAGAUGCAGAGAAAGAGAGAGGAGAAGAGUUGGCGGAUAUGGUGGGUGGUGUACUGGAACCUGUAGUCGAGAAUGAGGAUGAGGUU
rnacentral:lncRNA from 1 species